GAAUCUGAAGACCAUGUGUGUGUGUGUGUGUGUGUGUUAUUUGAUAACCUUAUUUCCUCAUCAGUCACGGUCACACAGCAGAGGAUCUGAGGACGCAGCUCUGACUUACUGCUCUUUAUGACUAUAAACUGAAACCCUCCGCCACAGAACAUCGCUGCACACACAGCAACACAUAAAACAGCACGACAGGAUGUUGAUCUUUACAACCAGAGACUUGUACGAACUCCAAAACCAGCUUCAACAACAUCUGAUCUGACCGAUUUGGCCUGGCUUACAGUAAGAGAUGAGUGUGUGGAAGCUGCUGUACAGUAUGUCUCCUAGCUGUAGCUACAGUGCACUGAAUACAACCCAUCAGUGAGUGUUUACAAAGAAAAAUGUCUGUAGAUAAGACGAAGCAGGAACUUGACAGAUGAAAACACAAAAGUGGAGUCGACUCUGGAAAUCUGUGAAUCAGCCCUGAUUUUCUACAAAGUUUUUCCGCCCUCCUUUUGUUCCUUUUCUUCUCCGUCGACUCAUCGUGGACAGUGACUCAGGUCACAGGAACGUCCUCCUGCUGAGCACACUCACCAAACAUCUUCAUCUUCAUCAUCAUCAUCAGGGACACAAACUGUAGAGCAGCGACUCACCACCUUUCAGACUUCUGGAAAUAUUAUGUAUUCAUCUUCAUGAUGAGACUCCACAGUGAAGGUCGUCCUGUGGGGUAUCCAAAGCUUUACGGGGCGUCACGAGGCAUUUCUUAAAUUUUAGAAUGUGUUCACGUAUUAUUCAAAACCACUGAAUAUCUGAUGGUUUCCAGCAGCGGACAAACAUGUUGGUUUGAGUCUGACCAUGAGGUUUAUCCUGCACAUCUUGUGGGGUCCUGAUCCGAGGGCCACGCCACAAAUGACGCUGGAGAGAUUUUUAUGGAACUUCUAAAAGAAGAGAACGAAAACAAACACAUAAAACACUGAUCUGAGUUCAGUUUGUUGUGUAAAAAAAUAAAAU